rnacentral:rRNA from 1 species
AGCUUUUAGACUUUAUUUUAGGUUGUUUCUGCCCAGUGCUUAGUAGUAAAAGGCCGCAGUACCUUGACUGUGCUAAGGUAGCGAAAUAAGUAGGCUUUUAAUUGGAGUCCGGUAUGAAUGGAAGAGCGGAAAUUAACUGUCUCUUUAAAAUAUUAGAAUUUUUUUAAUAGGUGAAAAUACCUACAUAAAGAUAAAAGACGAUAAGACCCUGGGAACUUGUGAGUAAGAUUCUUUUGUUGGGGCAACACUGGAACAAUGAACUUCCAUAGAGUAUAGUAAUUGUAUCAAGUUUUACUAUUAGGGAAAGUUACCCCAGGGAUAACAGCAUAAUUUUUAAAAGCUUGUGACCUCGAUGUUGGACUAGGAAAAUUAUGAUAAGCCAUCAUAAGUUUAUGUUCUGUUCGAACAUUUUCUCCUACAU